rnacentral:rRNA from 1 species
UCUUUUCAACCCUUGGCGGCAGGCUUAACACAUGCAAUCGAGCGGUAACAGAUCUAGCUUGCUAGAUGCUGACGAGUGGCGGACGGGUGAGUAACGCGUAGGAAUCUACCCGGUUGUGGGGGAUAGCCCAGAGAAAUUUGGAUUAAUACCGUAUACGGUCUACGGACCAAAAAGGGCCUCUGUUUUUGUUUACAAUACCAAGCUAUCGCAACCGGAUGAGCCUGCGUGAGAUUAUCUAGUUGGUGAGGUAAAGGCUCACCAAGGCGACUGAUAUCUAUCUGGUCUGACAGGAUGAUCACACCACUCUGGGACUGAAACAUCGCCCACUACUCCUAUGGGAAGCAGGGGUGGGGAAUAUUGCACAAUGGGCGCAACCCUGAUCCAGCCAUGCCGCGUGUGUGAAGAAGGCUUUCGGGUUGUAAAGCACUUUCAGCGAGGAGGAAAGGGAGCAGGUUAAUACUCUGUUUCUGUGACGUUACUCGCAGAAGAAGCACCGGCUAACUCCGUGCCAGCAGCCGCGGUAAUACGGAGGGUGCAAGCGUUAAUCGGAAUUACUGGGCGUAAAGCGCGCGUAGGUGGCAAAGUCAGUCAGAUGUGAAAGCCCCGGGCUUAACCUGGGAACUGCAUCUGAUACUGCUUCGCUAGAGUAUGGUAGAGGGGUGUGGAAUUUCCUGUGUAGCGGUGAAAUGCGUAGAUAUAGGAAGGAACACCAGUGGCGAAGGCGACACUCUGGACCAAAACUGACGCUGAGGUGCGAAAGCGUGGGGAGCAAACGGGAUUAGAUACCCCGGUAGUCCACGCCGUAAACGAUGUCUACUAGCCGUUGGGAGACUUGAUCUCUUAGUGGCGCAGCUAACGCGAUAAGUAGACCGCCUGGGGAGUACGGUCGCAAGAUUAAAACUCAAAUGAAUUGACGGGGGCCCGCACAAGCGGUGGAGCAUGUGGUUUAAUUCGAUGCAACGCGAAGAACCUUACCAGGUCUUGACAUCCUGCGAACUUUCUAGAGAUAGAUUGGUGCCUUCGGGAACGCAGUGACAGGUGCUGCAUGGCUGUCGUCAGCUCGUGUUGUGAAAUGUUGGGUUAAGUCCCGUAACGAGCGCAACCCUUAUCCUUAUUUGCCAGCACGUAAUGGUGGGAACUCUAAGGAGACUGCCGGUGACAAACCGGAGGAAGGUGGGGACGACGUCAAGUCAUCAUGGCCCUUACGACCUGGGCUACACACGUGCUACAAUGGGAGGUACAGAGGGACGCGAAGCCGCGAGGUGUAGCUAAUCCCAGAAAACCUUUCGUAGUCCGGAUUGGAGUCUGCAACUCGACUCCAUGAAGUUGGAAUCGCUAGUAAUCGUGAAUCAGAAUGUCGCGGUGAAUACGUUCCCGGGCCUUGUACACACCGCCCGUCACACCAUGGGAGUGGAUUGCACCAGAAGUAGUUAGUCUAACCUUCGGGAGGACGAUUACCACGGUGUGGUUCAUGACUGGGGUGAAGUCGUAACAAGGUAGCC